rnacentral:rRNA from 1 species
CCUACGGGUGGCAGCAGUGGGGAAUAUUGGACAAUGGGCGCAAGCCUGAUCCAGCCAUGCCGCGUGAGUGAUGAAGGCCUUCGGGUUGUAAAGCUCUUUCACCGGUGACGAUGAUGACGGUAGCCGGCGAAGAAGCCCCGGCUAACUCCGUGCCAGCAGCCGCGGUAAUACGGAGGGGGCGAGCGUUGUUCGGAAUUACUGGGCGUAAAGGGCGCGUAGGCGGCCUGUUGCGUCGGGUGUGAAAGCCCUGGGCUCAACCUGGGAAUGGCACUCGAAACGGGCAGGCUCGAAACCGAGAGAGGAUCGUGGAAUUCCCAGUGUAGAGGUGAAAUUCGUAGAUAUUGGGAAGAACACCAGAGGCGAAGGCGGCGAUCUGGCUCGGAUUUGACGCUGAGGCGCGACAGCGUGGGGAGCAAACAGGAUUAGAUACCCUAGUAGUC